rfam:Gossypium raimondii Chr04_contig_1412, whole genome shotgun sequence.
UGUUAAAAAAUUCAUCCAUUUCUACGGUUAAAAACUAGAAUGUUUGACGAAACAACUAAACAAUUACAUAUGGUAUGUCACAUGUACCUUAUGCUAACAUAUAGGGACUAGGUUUUAACAAUAAAAAUGGAUGAAACUUUUAAUG